CAGGACCGUAUCGAGACGGUCCGUGGCUUCGGCUACAAGCUGAAGGCCUGAGCGGGGCGGCAUGCGGGGGAUGUUCAGACGUCCGGCCACGUCC
rnacentral:tRNA from 1 species